GGAACUUCACUACUGCAAGGCAGGAGCAGGGUCUAUAACUAGUACUACUAUGCAUAAACCUUCAGCCCUGGGAGGUACGACCAUCACCCGUCCCAUCCAUCUCCUCUGCUCCAAGAAGCAAACACCAAGAAACAAAGAGGGAGGGAGAGAGAGAGAUAGAGGGAGAGAGUCCUUUUCUCUCACCAGCUCUCCUUUCAAGCUCAGUACGGUGGCCGCUCACCGGAUCCAAGAAGAAAACCUCUCUUCCGUUUAUGAUUCUUUCUCUUGAGUUCUUGAGGUUUUAUUUGGUUUUUCUUUGAGUUUUUACUCGUUUUUCUCGAUUUCUCGAUUUCGAUGACUCGGAACUAAAUAGGUUCUCUAAUGACAAGUAAGAGCAAGAAAUUUCUAGCACGGAGAAGCUCUCAUGAGAUUGACAGAAGAGAGUGAGCACACGGCGUGAUGGCCGGCAUAAAAUCUAUCCCGUCCUCGCCGCGUGCUCACUCCUCUUUCUGUCACCCUCUUUCUCUCAGGGCUCAACUCCUAUCCAGAUCUAUUAGCAGGCUUACAAAAUCACUAAAUUACUUUGAUUUGGUGUUACUCAAUUUGAUUGUUAUGAUCUAGCCUUUUCCUCCAAAGAAGCACUAGAAACCACCCCUUAUGCUUGGUAGAGAGAAACCUCAUGCUUGGUACAGAGAAAUUCAGCCACAAGAAGACAGAGAACGCAUGCUUGAACCGUGCUGUCGCCGGAACUACUACCGAGGAGAGUGAUACGGAUGCUGGUGAUAAUGUGGUAGUACUACUCCUUGCGUUGGGAGCUGAAGCAUGGAGAUGCUGCCAGUACACUGGAGCACUGUGGUGAUUCAUCAACAGGAUUAACCGGAUCUUCUCUCUCUUUCUUCUUCUACCCCAUCUCUUCUCUUCACUUCUCUCUUUGCUCUCUUGUUUUUCAGCUAAAGCUCCUUGUGCAGGUUGUUGGCCAUGGUGGUGGGGUUCAUCAAGUUAUUGCUUGGUCAAAAAUGGAGCAUGGAAGAGGCUAACAGAUGACCCAUAUUUGGCAUGCAAGGUUGUUUCGCUAUGCGUUUGCCAGAUCUGGCUCGCAUCUUAGAUAAAGGUCAUCAUUCAUGUUUAAUGGCCAGCAAGGCAGCAACUACACCAUUAAUUUCCACAAGGGAUUGGGAUGAGAUAUGAUUCAAGCUGAUGGAUGCUUUACAAAAGUCACUUCAUGUGCUUGACAUGCAUGCGCGUGCAGUCCCAUUCUGAGAGGGGAUCUAAACAUGGCCUUUUAUAUAUGAUCUUAGAACACACUUAUUUGAGAUUUUUAAUCAGCAGUCAUCUACGGGAAAAAAUGUAAACUCUUGCAGCAGCGCGUGGCGGAGAGGGGGUAACCUAGUUUUUAAGAUUCAAAUGACCUUUUUUUUAAGGGCCUCAAUCUUGGCGCGGCUGGAGACGGACACUGUUGAAUAAAUUGGAACUGAUCGAAGGCUCGAAGCACAGAUUAUACUAGUAUACACGAGUUCUAGAUGGAUGCAUGUUGUUAGCCUCCAGAUAUCGUGUUUAUGUUCUUCCUGUCUCUACAAAAUCUUUUCUCUGUAUCCUCCAAUGUACAGUUAUGCUUUUUUAUUUAAUUUGUUUUGAUUUCUGUAUGUAUAAGGAUUGCCUCAUGAUCACAAUAGUGUAUAUGUUGUAUAUAUCUAUCAACAAUGUAUACCAAGUUUUUCCACAUAA